UGACAACUGUUCCUCCUGCUGCCCCAAGUGAUGGCAUGUGGGAUUUUAGGUUGUUGGAGAUGAUCUGGGUCAUCUUCACUCGGGGUCCAUGAGGUGGCAGGGCUGCCCUUGUGCACUCUGAACUUUGCGGGGCCCAACACUU
ensembl:snoRNA small nucleolar RNA SNORA79